GACGAACGCUGGCGGCGUGCUUAACACAUGCAAGUCGAACGGAAAGGCCCUGCUUUUGUGGGGUGCUCGAGUGGCGAACGGGUGAGUAACACGUGAGUAACCUGCCCUUGACUUUGGGAUAACUUCAGGAAACUGGGGCUAAUACCGGAUAGGAGCUCCUGCUGCAUGGUGGGGGUUGGAAAGUUUCGGCGGUUGGGGAUGGACUCGCGGCUUAUCAGCUUGUUGGUGGGGUAGUGGCUUACCAAGGCUUUGACGGGUAGCCGGCCUGAGAGGGUGACCGGCCACAUUGGGACUGAGAGACGGCCCAGACUCCUACGGUAGGCAGCAGUGGGGAAUAUUGCACAAUGGGCGGAAGCCUGAUGCAGCAACGCCGCGGGCGGGAUGACGGCCUUCGGGUUGUAAACCGCUUUCGCCUGUGACGAAGCGGGAGUGACGGUAAUGGGUAAAGAAGCACCGGCUAACUACGUG
rnacentral:rRNA from 1 species